UAGUUUCUCCUCGCUUCAGUCAACGUUUGUCAACUGCGGUUACAAGGUCUCAAUUCUUAGAAUGAAGCUCAUUUUAUAUUUUUUGGUUCUCGCUGCAUACGUGGGCAGUUCUUUAGCUCUUAAACAUGAGGUGUGCGGAUUGCAGCAUGCUAAAAACGGAUUUGAUGACGGAAGAUACUGCUUGUUUUUCGAAAAGUUAUGGUCCUAUAAUAAAGUGACCAAGAAAUGCUCAAUGUUUAUGUACGGAGGCUGCGGUAGAAAUGAUAAUAGUUUUUUGAACCGAAAAGAUUGUGAGGACAAGUGCCUAGAAUGAAUACCCAAAGAAUAAAGCAUGAUAGGUUAACGUGUUCCAACUAAUUGCUUUUACAAUUAUGCAGAAAAUGCAAUCGUGCUAAGAUAUAAAACGAUAUAUUGAUAAUCCCCAAAAAGCCUUUCCCAGCGUUAUAUACACUGUACAAUUCGAUUCAGUUGCGACUUUUAAUUAAAUAUUUCACACCAUUUAGUUUUAAGGUUUGUAUGAGACUUAGACAUCGCAUAAAGCUAUAAGGCUAGGUUGUUUCUCCUCGCUUCAGUCUACGUUUGUCAACUGUGGAUACAAGGUCUCAAAUCUUAGAAUGAAGCUGAUUUUAUAUUUUUUGGUUCUCGCUGCAUACGUGGGCAGUUCUUUAGCUCUUAAACAUGAGGUGUGCGGAUUGCAACAUGCUAAAAACGGAUUUGAUGACGGAAGAUACUGCUUGUUUUUCAAAAAGUUAUGGUCCUAUGAUGCAGAGGCCAAAAAAUGCUCAAUGUUUAUGUACGGAGGCUGCGGUAGAAAUGAUAAUAGUUUUUUGAGCCAAAAAGAUUGUGAGAAUAAGUGCCUGGAAUGAAUACCCAAAGAAUAAAGCAUAAUAGUUUAACAUGUUCUA